rnacentral:lncRNA from 1 species
UCAUCUCUACCUUUUUAAAAUCAUUUUUUAGGUAUUUGCCUUACCUGAGUUUCUUGAGGAUGGGGACAUUUUCCAUCUUGGUGCCCUUGAAUGACCUGGUGUCUAAAAUAACAAAGGAACCUAAUGACAGUAAUGAUAACUAUUGCUCACCCUCACAUGAAUGACCAUACUUCAAUAUUUCUCUUGGAGAUCUGGGCAUUUUAGAGAUUUGUUUCAUGCAUUGAUUUAGAAUUACAGGAU